rnacentral:rRNA from 1 species
UACGUAGGGUCCGAGCGUUGUCCGGAGUUACUGGGCGUAAAGGGCGCGCAGGUGGCGGUGCUGGCCCGGCGUGAAAGCCCCCGGCUCAACUGGGGAGGGUCGUCGGGGACCGCACCGCUUGAGGGCGGUAGGGGCUGGUGGAAUGCCUGGUGUAGUGGUGAAAUGCGUAGAGAUCAGGCGGAACACCCGUAGCGAAGGCGGCCAGCUGGGCCGACCCUGACACUGAGGCGCGAAGGCGUGGGGAGCGAACGGG